rnacentral:piRNA from 1 species
CACGGAAGGUGAGCGUAGGUGGAGGUGA